rnacentral:tRNA from 1 species
CAGAGAAUAGUUUUAAUUAGAAUCUUAGCUUUGGGAGUUGAGGGUGGGAGUUAAAAUCUCCUUUCUCUGA